rnacentral:rRNA from 1 species
AUUGAACGCUGGCGGCAGGCCUAACACAUGCAAGUCGAGCGGAUGAAGGGAGCUUGCUCCUGGAUUCAGCGGCGGACGGGUGAGUAAUGCCUAGGAAUCUGCCUGGUAGUGGGGAUAACGUCCGGAAACGGGCGCUAAUACCGCAUACGUCCUGAGGGAGAAAGCGGGGGAUCUUCGGACCUCACGCUAUCAGAUGAGCCUAGGUCGGAUUAGCUAGUUGGUGGGGUAAAGGCCUACCAAGGCGACGAUCCGUAACUGGUCUGAGAGGAUGAUCAGUCACACUGGAACGGAGACACGGUCCAGGCUCCUACGGGAGGCACCAGUGGGGAAUAUUGGACAAUGGGCGAAAGCCUGAUCCAGCCAUGCCGCGUGUGUGAAGAAGGUCUUCGGAUUGUAAAGCACUUUAAGUUGGGGGGAAGGGCAGUAAGUUAAUACCUUGCUGUUUUGACGUUACCAACAGAAUAAGCACCGGCUAACUUCGUG